GUCUCCAUGCAUUAAAGUCAGCCCUGCUGUAUGCAAUUCAACAAUAUUUUCCUCCUUCGGAAGCAAGGACACUAAUUCCUGGAGCGUCAAAACAGGAGCAAUAAUAACAUCAAAGAGCACUCACUACAGAUCACCCCGUCAAAUAUGAUAAUAAUGAAAAAAAUUUAAAUAUAGCAAGAAUUACCAAAAUGACCCACGGAGACAUGAAGUGAAGCAAAAGGUGCUCUUGGAAACAAAAGAUGCUGAUUGACUUGCUGGAUCUAGGCUGCUGGAUCUACAAACCUUCAAUUUGUAGAAAAUCCACCCAAUGUUUUUGAAGUGCAAUAAAGUAAAGGGCAAUAAA